rnacentral:lncRNA from 1 species
AUACAUAUAUUUACUUAUCUCAUAUAUAUACAAUCAACACAAUAUCAGCAUCAGCAUCAGGAUAAUCACAAGAACUGUAUCAGUUUUCUUUCGUGUGGAUGCAUCAUCACUGUUUCUCUACUUUAUUAAAAGGCGACUACUACAAAUCAUCCGACUGAUUUCCUAGCGAAAUCAGUCGGGUCGCCAGCCGUGUGAUCAAUUCUUCCCAGCCCUUAGAUAGUUUAAGGCAUGCUGACACUUUUUUCUCGCGUGCAUCCAACCAGCCCAUCUGCUUCGAUCUCCUAUCAACGCAAGUCGCAUGCGAACAUCCACCACAACAUCGGAGAGCCGCCAUGACGCGAGCUCCAUAAUAACACCAAAACACUACGUCUAGUCACCGACGAGCGCUCCGGCGAAGCUGCAAUGGAGCCGACGGCGAGCGCUCCAAUGCAACACCAAAAGUUCCUCCCGUACACCUCCUUCCCAGAGCCGCCGGUGACGCUCCAUCAUGUCGUCGGUGAAGCUCCAUUGCAACUCCGAUGGCGUUACAUUGCACCUCCGGCUAAGCUCCAAUGAAGCCGCGACGGAGCUCCAUCGACCUCGGCGACGCUCCAUCGCAGCUCUCGGCGCAUUCCAUUGCAACGUCGUCGAUGAAGACGUAUGUUGGGAUGCAGCAUGCAACCGCCAUGGUGGAAUCUUCGAUGCAGAGCACGGCGACGACGACGCAAGCUGCUUCGCAGGAGCUGCGGUGGUGCAGCAACGCGAGGAGACGGUGAUUUGCAGUAGCGAUGAUGUAGAGCGUUGCGUGUAGGGGCAAGCGUUGCAGCAACACGAGCAAUGGUGGUAGUGCACCGGUCUACGACGAUGGGGGACGGCACUGCCAUGGUUGUGAUGUGUUGCGCGAAG